rnacentral:rRNA from 1 species
GUGUCAGCCGCCGCGGUAAGACAGAGGGUGCAAACGUUGUUCGGAAUCACUGGGCGUAAAGCGCGUGUAGGCGGCACGGCAUGUCGGAUGUGAAAUCCCAUGGCUCAACCAUGGAAGUGCACCCGAAACUGCCGAGCUCGAGUCUCGGAGAGGAAGGUGGAAUGCUUGGUGUAGAGGUGAAAUUCGUAGAUAUCAAGCGGAACACCGGUGGCGAAGGCGGCCUUCUGGACGAUGACUGACGCUGAGACGCGAAAGCGUGGGGAGCAAACAGGAUUAGAAACCCCAGUAGUCC